GACGAACCGUGCGAACGUUGUUCGGAUUCAUUGGGCUUAAAGGGCGCGUAGGCGGCCGCUCAAGUCGGGGGUGAAAUCUUUCAGCUUAACUGGAAAAUAGCCUCCGAUACUGGGCGGCUGGAGGGAGAUAGGGGUGCGCGGAACUUCCGGUGGAGCGGUGAAAUGCGUAGAUAUCGGAAGGAACGCCGGUGGCGAAAGCGGCGCACUGG
rnacentral:rRNA from 1 species